rnacentral:rRNA from 1 species
GACGAACGCUGGCGGCGUGCUUAACACAUGCAAGUCGAGCGGAGCGGCGGACGGGUCAGUAACACGUGAGUAACCUGCCUUAGACAUUGGGAUAGCCUCGGGAAACCGUGUUUAAUACCAAAUGGUCUAAGAUGGACUCGCGUCCCAUUAGAUAGUUGGUGAGGUAACGCCCACCAAGGCGACGAUGGGUAGCCGGCCUGAGAGGGGGAACGGCAACAUUGGAACUGAGAAACGGUCCAAACUCUACGAGGGGCAGCGGUGGGGAAUAUUGCACAAUGGAGGGAACUCUGAUGCAGCGACGCGGCGGGAACGAAAAAGGCUUUCGAGUCGUAAAGUACUGUUAUAUGGGAAGCGGUACCAUAAGAAAAAGCCCCGGCUAACUACGUGCCAGCAGCCGCGGUAAUAC